UACGUAGGGUGCGAGCGUUGUUCGGAAUUAUUGGGCGUAAAGAGCUCGUAGGCGGCGUGUCGCGUCGGCCGUGAAAACCUGCAGCUUAACUGUGGGCGUGCGGUCGAUACGGGCAUCACUGGAGUUCGGCAGGGGAGACUGGAAUUCCUGGUGUAGCGGUGAAAUGCGCAGAUAUCAGGAGGAACACCGGUGGCGAAGGCGGGUCUCUGGGCCGAUACUGACGCUGAGGAGCGAAAGCGUGGGGAGCGAACAGG
rnacentral:rRNA from 1 species